rnacentral:lncRNA from 1 species
CAGUGAUGGUGGUACAAGGCUGGAAACACAUUCUGUUUAAAUAACAGCCAAUCAAUGUUUGGUCUGUAAAUUUGAGGAUGCUUAUUUGGUUCUUCCUUUGCAGUUGUUUGAACUCAUGAUACUGAGAUAUAGUUGCACUAAAUCGCUUUGCACUAUGCCCGGUGCGCUGGACCAUUCGAUCACCCAGGCUCGACAAAAAUCAAGCUUUCGGUGGCAGGGUGUUACCUUUCCCAGUCAGUAUUUAUGUAGCGUCGUAACACAGUACAUGACAUAUAAAGCAUGAAGAUCGAAUAUUACAGAUCAGCUGAGUUAUCUAUCGUGGAUUAAUGUAGAAUACAGUCACAGAAAUAAUUAUACUAUAAGAACAUCUAAACCAGUGACAACUCUACUACAACAUAUUUCAUCAAUCGAAUCACAAAUGAGGGUGAUACAAGGCUGAAAAUAUCAGACCUGUAAAUUUGCAGAAGCAUUUUUUAGUUCGUAUCUGGCAGGUAUUCUUUUUAUCUAGCCUAAGUGGUCCAGUGUUCUAGCGCGUCGGACAUAGUGCAUGGCGAUUUGGUGCCCAGUAGCAAUAGUUCGAAUCCCGUCUAGGGAAGCAAAUUUGCCGAUCUAACAUUAUUUAGAGAAAUUAUAUAUAUAUUAUUUGAAAUGGUUUUUAACUUUGGAUUUUCUUAGUACUUAUUUCAGGAUCAAAUAUUAAUAGAAUAAUGACUCAUUACUCAAUAUUACAUUCUAGCUCAGCCCCUACCCCUACCCCCGAAAAAUACUUUCUUUAUUUCCUUGUUAACUAGUAUUCACAUAAAAUGUUAGAAAAAUACGAUAUUUAUCUCAAUGAUUUAUUAUUCUUUAGCAAACCUAUUAUACUUUCUUUUUUAAACGCAAUUCUAAUUAUUCACUUUAUAUGAUUUACAAGUAUUAGGCAGACACAUAUAUUAAAAUUCUGAAAAGAGGCAUGUUUUAAAUAAUAUCUGGCGAUGUAAGUUUAUAUACUAGGCAUGUCGAAAACAACCAAAGUGAAGAUCAUAGCUUUAAGGAAGUCAUGACUUGGCUUAAUGUAAGGUCACAAAAUUGAAUCAUAUAAGAUGAUCCAACAUAAUGUAAAGGCUUUUCUUAUCAUUCAAAUAAAGAGAUAUGUCCUCGUUACUGACGAAACUUAUAACUCUAGUCUCAUCUGAACUUAUAUCAGUACUUAUUGAUGUAAUAUAAUUUAAUAAAAGAUGAUGAAUUAUCUUGUUCCUUCUAGAUUUUGGCAAAACACCAUAAAC